rnacentral:rRNA from 1 species
ACAUGCAAGUCGAACGUGAAAGGGCUUCGGCCUGAGUAAAGUGGCGUACGGGUGAGUAACGCGUGAGUAAUCUACCUUAAAGCCUGGAAUAACCUGCCGAAAGGCGGGCUAAUACUGGAUAGAGCGACGGAACUCGUGGAGAGUUUUUCGGGAAAGGGAGCCCGCAAGGGCCCUCACUUUAAGAUGAGCUCGCGUCCCAUUAGCUAGUUGGUGAGGUAAAAGCUUACCAAGGCAACGAUGGGUAGCUGGUCUGAGAGGAUGAUCAGCCACACUGGGACUGAAACACGGCCCAGACUCCUACGGGAGGCAGCAGUGGGGAAUCUUGCGCAAUGGACGAAAGUCUGACGCAGCGACGCCGCGUGAGUGAAGAAGGCCUGCGGGUUGUAAAGCUCUGUCAAGAGGGACGAAAAUGUUGUGGGUUAACAGCCCACGGCACUGACGGUACCUUUGAAGGAAGCACCGGCUAACUCCGUGCCAGCAGCCGCGGUAAUACGGAGGGUGCAAGCGUUGCUCGGAAUUAUUGGGCGUAAAGGGGAGGUAGGUGGUCUCGUUUGUCUGGGGUGAAAUCCCUGAGCUUAACUCACGACGUGCCUCGGAAACGGCGAGACUGGAGUACUGGAGAGGCUAGCGG